rnacentral:rRNA from 1 species
UUCGGGAGAAGGGGGGCCCCACGGUGUGAAGGUUCUUGCGGCUGGAAGCGUUGUGGGGUCGCAGAGAAUAGAGGGAAGCGACUGUUUAUUAAAAACACAGGUCCGUGCGAAAACGUGGAAGUUGAUGUAUACGGACUGACGCCUGCCCGGUGCUGGAAGGUUAAGAGGAGUGCUUAGCGGAAACGCGAAGGUAUGAAUUGAAGCCCCAGUAAACGGCGGCCGUAACUAUAACGGUCCUAAGGUAGCGAAAUUCCUUGUCGGGUAAGUUCCGACCUGCACGAAUGGCGUAACGAUGGCCACACUGUCUCCUCCCGAGACUCAGCGAAGUUGAAAUGUUUGUGAUGAUGCAAUCUACCCGCGGCUAGACGGAAAGACCCCAUGAACCUUUACUGUAGCUUUGUAUUGGACUUUGAACGGAUCUGUGUAGGAUAGGUGGGAGGCUUUGAAGCGGGGACGCCAGUUCUCGUGGAGCCAUCCUUGAAAUACCACCCUGGCAACUUUGAGGUUCUAACUCUGGUCCGUUAUCCGGAUCGAGGACAGUGUAUGGUGGGUAGUUUGACUGGGGCGGUCUCCUCCCAAAGAGUAACGGAGGAGCACGAAGGUUGGCUAAGUACGGUCGGACAUCGUACGGUUAGUGUAAUGGUAGAAGCCAGCUUAACUGCGAGACAGACACGUCGAGCAGGUACGAAAGUAGGUCAUAGUGAUCCGGUGGUUCUGAAUGGAAGGGCCAUCGCUCAACGGAUAAAAGGUACUCCGGGGAUAACAGGCUGAUACCGCCCAAGAGU